AUUGAACGCUGGCGGCAUGCUUUACACAUGCAAGUCGAACGGUAACAGGGUGCUUGCACCGCUGACGAGUGGCGAACGGGUGAGUAAUGCGCCGGAACGUGCCGAGUAGUGGGGGAUAACGCAGCGAAAGUUGUGCUAAUACCGCAUACGUACUGAGGUAGAAAGUGGGGGACCUUCGGGCCUCACGCUAUUCGAGCGGCCGACGUCUGAUUAGCUAGUAGGUGAGGUAAAGGCUCACCUAGGCGACGAUCAGUAGCGGGUCUGAGAGGAUGAUCCGCCACACUGGGACUGGGAAACGGCCAAGACUCCUACGGGGGGCAGCAGUGGGGAAUUUUGGACAAUGGGCGAAAGCCUGAUCCAGCCAUGCCGCGUGUCUGAAGAAGGCCGUCGGGUUGUAAAGGACUUUUGUCAGGGAGGAAAUCCCUAGUGCUAAUAACACUGGGGGAUGACAGUACCUGAAGAAUAAGCACCGGCUAACUACGUGCCAGCCGCCGCGGUAA
rnacentral:rRNA from 1 species